AUGUUCCCUUUGGCCUCAUAUAUACUCAAGUUAGAAUGAUAUAGAGAAUACUAGCACGGCUCCUGAGCAGAUAAUGUGCAAAUUCAUGAAGUAUUCCAUAUUUUU
ensembl:snRNA U6 U6 spliceosomal RNA